AACCCAAGGUUAGACGGGACUACCCGCUGAGUUUAGGAUAUCGAUAAGCCGAGAAGAAGAAACUUACAAGGAUUCACCUAGUAACAGUGAGCGAACCGAGAUCAGCCCAACUUGAGAAUCGGGCGGCUUCGCCAUUUGAAUUGUAGUAUGUAGAAGCGUCCUCGGUGACGAACUGGUCCAAUGUCCCUCGGAAAGGGCGCGAGAAAAGGUGAGAGUUCCGCCCUGUUCAGACCUUGUCAUACAAUGAGGUGUUGUCGGUGAAUAGAUUUGUUUGGGAAUGCAGCCUUUAUUUGGUGGUAAGUUCCGUCCAAGACUAAAUACUAGUGAGAGGUCGUUAGCGAACAAGUACCGCGAAAGAAAGAUGAAAAGGACAUUGAAAAGAGAGUCAAAGCGUGCUUCAAAUUAUCAAGAGGAUAGCGGAUGGGGGCUGGAGAUGCCCCUAGGUAUGAUGUGAAAUGAUGUGUGUCGGUCUACCGCUCGACUCUAGACGUGGACCUAUGUAGAUUAUGACAGUGGCCCCAGCUUGAACAAUUUGCGUGCUUGUGGAUACGUCAUCAUCAUGAUUAUUGUGGGUAGUGCACGCCUUCAGCGUGCCUAUGGAAAUUGCGCACUCCCGGGGUCGGCCUGCAGAUUUCCCAUUCGGACCAUCUUAAAACAUGGACCAAGGAGUCUGACAUGUGUGCAAGUUAACGAGUGAGUAAACUCGUAAGGCACAAGGAAGUUGAUUUGUGAGAUCCCCUUGUGGGUUUCCCCAUUGACCGAGCUAUAACCUUUUUAAAAGGGUUCAAGUGUGAGCAUACCUAUCAGGACCCAAAAAUGGUGAACUUUGCCUAAGCGGGGCGAAGCCAAAUGAAACUCAUGUGGAGGCCCGCAGUGAUACUGACGUGCAAAUCGUUCGUCUGACUUGGGUAUAUGGGCAAAAGACUAAUUUAACCAUCUAGUAGGUUGUUCCCUCCAAAGUUUCCCUCAGGAUAGCUGGAUCUUGAGCGGGAGUUUUAUUAGGUAAAGCCAAUGAUUAGAGGCCUCGGUGGUGCAACACUCUCGACCUAUUUUCAAACUUUGAAAAGGUAGGACGGUGUGACCACUGUUUGUAGCGUUACCAUGGAAUCAUGAGCUCCAAAUGGGCCAUUUUUGGUAAGCAGAACUGGUGAUGCGGGAUGAACCGAAAGCCAUAAAGGGUGUAAGUCGAUUAAGAUGGUAGGACGGUGGUCAUGGAAGUCGAAAUUCGCUAAUGAGUGUGUAAUAAUUCACCUGCCAAAUCAACUUGCCCCGAAAAUGGAUGUCGCUUAAGCGCAUGACCCAUCCUCGACCGUUGGGGAAAUUUUCAGGCCCUAAUGAGUAGGAGGGUGCAACAGUAGCUGCAAAACUUUAGGCAUGAGCCCAGGCUGAGCUUUUGUCAAUGCAAAUCUUGGUGGUAGUAGCAAAUAUUCAAAUGAGAACUUUAAAGGCUGAAAUGGGGAAAGAUUACAUGUGAAUGACACUUGCACAUGUUUUAGUCGAACCUAAGAGUCAGGGUAACCCUGUCAAAGAGCGCAAACUUCAAAACGGAAUUGGGAUCAUGAACUGGGACGCUACGGUUAACAACAACAUUAGAAAGUUUGAAGACAUUGGUAGGGGCCUCGAAAAGGGUUAUCUUUUCUGUUUAACAACUUGCCCACCCUAGAAACGGCUCAGUUAGAUGUAGGGUCUAGCGGUUGGAAGAACACUACGCGUCACAUGGUGUCCAGUGUGCCCUUGGCGGCCCUUGAAAAUUCGAAGGACUGAGUGCCUGCGGUUGUACUCAUAACUGCAUCAAGUCUCCAAGGUGAACAACCUUUGGUCGAUGGGAACAAUGUAGGCAAGGGAAGUCAACAAAUUGGAUAUAUAACUUCGUGAAAAGGAUUGGCUCUAAGGACUGGGCUCAGGGUCCCAGUUUCGAACCCUUCAACUUUCGGUGGACUGUUUGAGCUGCCUUUGUGGCGAGAGCGGGUCACUGGGGGAUGGACUGAGAAUGGUCCAUUUGUGAGCUUUCCCCGGGUGGUAAACAUUCGACUCAGAAAUGGUAAAAACAAAGGGAAUCUGACUAUUUAAUUAAAACAAAGCAUUGUGUUUUUUACGGAUGCUAACGCAAUGUGAUUUCUACCCAGUGCUCUAAAUGUCAAAGUGAAGAAAACAACCAAGCAUUGGUAAACGACGGGAGUAACUAUGACUUUUUUAAGGUAGCCAAAUGCCUCAUCAUCUAAAUUGUUACAUGCAUGAAUUGAUUAACGAAAUUUCCACUAUCCUUGUCUACUAUCCGGCGGAACCACAGCCAAGGGAACGGGCUUGGUAGAAUCAACUGGAAAAGAAGACCUGUUGAGUUUGACUCUAUACUGAUUUUGUGCAAUGACUUGAAAGGUGUAGGGUAAGUGGGAGGUGUUUGUGUAGAAAGUGAAAUACCACUACUUUUAACAUUUUUUUGCUUAUUCCAUUAGUCGAAAGCGGGGCACUGGCCCACUUUUUUUUAUCCAAGGGUUAUCUCUACGGCUUGUUUCGUGUAAAAGACAUGUCAGGUACGGAGUUUGGCUAAGGAGGCACAUCUGUUAAAAGAUAAGGCAAGUGUCUUAAGAUGAACUCAACGAUAACAUAAACCUUGUGUGGAACAAAAGGGUAAAAGCUCGUUUGAUUCAGAUUUCCAGUACAAAUAUGAAUCGUUAAAGCAUGGCCUAUCGAUCCCUUAGACCUUCGAAAUUUGAAGCUAGAGGUGUCAGAAAAGUUACCACAGGGAUAACUAACUUGUGGCAGCCAAGAGUUCAUACCGACGUUGUUUUUUUAUCCUUUGAUGUCGGCUCUUCCUAUCAUUCUGAAGCAGAAUUCACUAGUUGUUGGAUUGUUCACCUACCAAUAGGGAACGUAGGCUAGACCGUUAUGAGACAAGUUAAUUUUACCCUACUGAUGAUAUUGUCGCAAUAGUAAUUCAACCUACACUACACCAAAAACCCCCA
rnacentral:rRNA from 1 species